rnacentral:rRNA from 1 species
AUGAAGUAUGGCUCUGCCUAACAAACUUAAUCAUAAAGUUUGACCUCAAAUCAGGUAGGAUUACCCGCUGAACUUAAGCAUAUCAAUAAGCGGAGGAAAAGAAACCAACAGGGAUUGCCUUAGUAGUGGCGAAUGAAGCGGCAAGAGCUCAAAUUUGAAAUCUGGUAUCUUCGAUGCCCGAGUUGUAAUUUGAAGAAAGCAAUCUUGGAAUUGGUCCUUGUCUAUGUUCCUUGGAACAGGACGUCACAGAGGGUGAGAAUCCCGUGCGACAAGGAAUUCUUUUCUAUAUAAGAUGUUUUCGAAGAGUCGAGUUGUUUGGGAAUGCAGCUCUAAGUGGGUGGUAAAUUCCAUCUAAAGCUAAAUAUUGGCGAGAGACCGAUAGCGAACAAGUACUGUGAAGGAAAGAUGAAAAGAACUUUGAAAAGAGAGUGAAAAAGUACGUGAAAUUGUUGAAAGGGAAGGGUAUUCGAUCAGACUGGUAUUUAGCUAUCAUUGCUCCUUGUGGGUGGUGCUCUAGCCUUUUACUGGGCCAACAUCAGUUUUGGUGGUAAGAUAAUCGCAGUUGAAUGUGGCUCUUUCGGGAGUGUUAUAGCUUCUGUUGAUGUUACCUAUCGGGACUGAGGUCUGCGGCUUUGCCUAGGAUGUUGGCGUAAUGAUCCAAUACCGCCCGUCUUGAAACAUGGACCAAGGAGUCUAACGUCUAUGCGAGUGUUUGGGUGUAAAACCCG